CAGCUCCAGAUCAUCUGCCACACCUUCCUUGUCCAACAUUCAAGGGUUACCUUAGAACACCCAAGAUCAGGCCAACAAUUUAGAGGUGAUGACUAGUGACAUCUAUUUAAUGUUCCACAAUGCUGUCUCCUUCAAGAAAGUGUCCAAUGACCUCCUCACUUCAAAAAAGGGUCACCUGCAGAAAAGGAAGGAGUUUUGAGAUGAUGUGAUAGAUUAUGUUGUUAACAACAUACCUCUCAACUGGCUGGUAGGUUCCCUUUAUUCUCAGCUGACUGAGUCUCAGAAUGCUCAAGACCAAGGUGCAGGGAAGAAAAGGACAAGCCAGGAAAUAUAUCAAGCUGAACAUAAAACA
rnacentral:lncRNA from 1 species